UUUAACUGGAUUUAUGAAAUAAAAUAAAGGUUUUAUUAUGGAGGGCAUAUUUUUAUGAGAUAUAGGCUUGGCUUAAGGGAGGAAAGACUUACAGUAAGAAAAAACUUAAAAAUAAUGAACAUUCGAAUUGUAAACUCUUGAUGUUUAUAUCCAUUUUCUGAUUAGGUUAAGUUUACUUCAAAUGCGAUUAGGUUAGGUUUACUUUAAUUUAGGUUAGGUUAUCCCAAUAGGUCGAUAAUCGAGGGAAAAUAUAUUUUACUAGAAGUACUGCCGCGUCGUUACUUGUAAUUCUUAAAUCCAAUUCGAAAAGCCGAACUGGAAGUUAACCCAUUCAAUUAUUAACGAGCAAAUAUUUCUGCCAUAUCCGCCAUGACUCAAAGAAAGUUCAGAAUGUGGUAUGGUUCUAGCUGUCAAAAUGUAAUACUUUGGAGUUGCUUUUACAUAAUGUGGCUAGAGGUUUCGUAUUCCACGUAGCAGAAUCUGUACGUUGAAUCCUAGCGUCUACAGGUGUCCAUUCAGGCGGUAGUACCCCGUCAAUACUCCAGAGGGUAUUCAAGUUGAGUUGAGUCUUCCUGAGGAAAAUUGAAUAGCUACAGACUUGCUAAAGUAGGAACAAAUAAACCCUUCAUAGGACCCUACCCCUUUUAAGAAAUCAAAUACAGAACAAUGAAGAAAACUUUGAAAAAGAGUGUAGAUUGGGAAAAACAGUUACUGGACCAAUCUACCUAGGUUGGGACACUACAGGACUCCAGUGGUUCACACCACACGAAGAUCUCUGGCAGCUAAAGCCAUUCCAGAUCCUGAAGUUUCUAAGGGGAGUUGGAUUAAUACAUCAACUUUAAAUACUGAGAAUCCCCAGGUCACGACAAGAAAAAAGACAGAAUAGAUCCUUUGGGUCAAAAAUUAGCUGGGAAAACUAAAAAGUCAGAUUAAAAACUCAGAAAUUAUCUAUGAAAUCUAUCUAUUGAAAUGAGUUGCUCUUUGUUACAACUCUAUGUUUUAUUGGCUGAAAAUGAAGGCAUUAAUCCACUAAGGAAAAAUAUUUUCUAGUGGAAGAUUUGGAUACAACGCCCAAUAUGCUUUUUUUGAGUUCACUAUAGUUCGUUUAGAUUUCAUUAAAUAAAUAGUAUAUAGGAAAAUAUGCUAUUUUAAAAACAUAAGAGGCUUUUUUUAAUAUCCAAUUAUGCUAGUAAGUAGGUAUCAUAGUUUAUCAAAGUUUAUUCAUAACCUUUCAACAAAAUUCAGUCUCAAGUACUGAAUUUUUGGAUACUUUUGUUUGUACACAGACUAUUAUAAUGAGUAA